CCCUCAGAUAUUAGUAGGUUAGUAUGUUUUCAACAUCCAUAAAAGCCUCUCGGUAUUCAUUAAGGCAGUGCAGAAAAGGAAAAACCACAACCUCUACCGUCUCUGCCCACUGUCAGUAGUAAUAACAACAGCAACAAUGAUAAUAAGACGACGAAGAAGAAAAAGUAGAAGAAUAGCAUCAACAAUAACAGCAGUAGCAGCAGCAUAGUUAGUAGCAAUGACAGUGGGGAGCAAGGCAGAAUGGAUGGAAAAGCUGUGAAUGAUAUUUAGAGUAACAUAUCUAGCA
rnacentral:lncRNA from 1 species